rnacentral:rRNA from 1 species
UAGGGAAUCUUCGGCAAUGGGGGCAACCCUGACCGAGCAACGCCGCGUGAGUGAAGAAGGUUUUCGGAUCGUAAAGCUCUGUUGUAAGAGAAGAACGUGUGUGAGAGUGGAAAGUUCACACGGUGACGGUAACUUACCAGAAAGGGACGGCUAACUACGUGCCAC